rnacentral:tRNA from 1 species
GUCUUUGUAGCUCAGCAGGAUAGAGCGUUCGCCUCCUAAGCGAAAGGUCGCUGGUUCGAUUCCAGUCAGGGACA